UACGAAGGGUGCAAGCGUUAAUCGGAAUUACUGGGCGUAAAGCGUGCGUAGGUGGUUGGUUAAGUCUGUCGUGAAAGCCCUGGGCUCAACCUGGGAAUGGCGAUGGAUACUGGCCAGCUAGAGUGUGAUAGAGGAUGGCGGAAUUCCCGGUGUAGCGGUGAAUUGCGUAGAGAUCGGGAGGAACAUCCGUGGCGAAGGCGGCCAUCUGGAUCAACACUGACGCUGAGGCACGAAAGCGUGGGGAGCGAACAGG
rnacentral:rRNA from 1 species